AUUAACGAAAAAAAUUAUUCUUCAUAAAUGUUAACAUAAAAAGAAAUUACAGAAAAGAUACAGAUUGAAUAAUCGAGUACACGUUGUGCGAUCCUUCUUACGCCUUGACACGUGAUUACCGUAUGAGCAAAUUUUUUCUCCUUUUCGAGGGUUGGAGUCGGAGGAAAGACUUUAAAACAGUGGGAGUUUACAUGCUAGCGUUGCAUACCGUUUCAUUCAUCUAAGUGUAACAAGUUACAAGAAGUUUUUGGUGUUGAAACCAAAUUUACCGGUAAAGCCGGUACUACAAGUCAGGACCAAAUUAUUUUCUUUUAUAAAAAAAUGAAAAUAGUGUUUCCCGUGUUUUUACUUUGGUCUCUGGCGGCUUCAAUGCCUGUUCAAGACCAGAAAUCAAUGAGACCUAAAAAAAAUGUGUUCACGUCGUUUGGUUGGGGAGCAGCAGGAAUGCCUAUUAACAGUUGGGCUAAAAGUGGAAACCCAUUCAAUAUACUCUAUAUGCAAGAUCAUUUACAUCAUCCCGUGAAUACAUUAAGAAAUAGUAGACAGCAGCAAGAUAUGUACGAAUCGCAGGCUUUAAAAUCGCAAACGCCAAAGCCAUCGGCAAAAAACAAUAAGACUAUUCAAAGAAAAAAACCCACGUUUACCACCCCCAGGCCGUUAUUUUCUGGGAUGCCGCAUUUAUUUAUGUCGUACCACUGGGGGCCGUCAGGUAGAAAAUUGGAAGAAACGCAGGACAAAAAAAAAUAUUUGUGAAAAAAAUCACUUUAUGCAAAAAGGAAACAAAUCAUGUGAUUAAAAGUAAUCUGACUGUUCCCAAAGCAUGUGUCUAAACUAAUAUAAUGGAACAAGCAAGAUGUCUAACAAAUUAAAAAUGAAUGUAUGUACUAAUAUACGGUGUUAUCAGAAGGUUUAAGAACUAAAUGAAAUUCUUAUACAUGUAUCAUCAUUGAUGAGAUUGGGAGCGACUAUUACGAUAUAAAGGCAACAGGUUGAAUUUUUAA